rnacentral:rRNA from 1 species
GAUGAACGCUGGCGGCGUGCCUAAUACAUGCAAGUCGAGCGAACAGAUGCGGAGCUUGCUCCUCUGACGUUAGCGGCGGACGGGUGAGUAACACGUGGAUCCCCUACCUUUAAGACUGGGAUAACUUCGUGAAACCGGAGCUAAUACCGGAUAAUAUAUUGAACCGCAUGGUUCAAUAGUGAAAGACGGUUUUGCUGUCCCCUAUAGAUGGCUCCGCGCCGCAUUAGCUAGUUGGUAAGGUAACGGCUUACGAAGGCAACGAUGCGUAGCCGACCUGAGAGGGGGAACGGCCACACUGGAGCUGAGACACGGUCCAGACUCCUACGGGAGGCAGCGGUAGGGAAUCUUCCGCAAUGGGCGGAAGCCUGACGGAGCAGCGCAGCGUGAGUGAUGAAGGUCUUCGGAUCGUAAAACGCUGUUAUGAGGGAAGAACAAAUGUGUAAGUAACUAUGCACGUCUUGACGGUACCUAAUCAGAAAGCCACGGCUAACUACGUG